UAGCCGUAAACGAUACUCGCUAGGUGUCGGCCACGGUGCGACCGUUGUCGGUGCCGUAGGGAAGCCGUGAAGCGAGCCACCUGGGAAGUACGGCCGCAAGGCUGAAACUUAAAGGAAUUGGCAGGGGAGCACAACAACGGGUGGAGCUUGCGGUUUAAUUGGACUCAACGCCGGAAAACUCACCGGGGGCGACAGCAAUAUGUAGGCCAGGCUGAAGACCUUGCCUGAACCGCUGAGAGGUGGUGCAUGGCGUAG
rnacentral:rRNA from 1 species